ensembl:snRNA U6 U6 spliceosomal RNA
GUGCUCACUUUGGCAGCACAUAUACUAAAACUGGAACAAUACAGAGAGUAGAAUGGCCCUUGCACAAGGAUAACAGGCAAAUUCAUGAAGUGUUCCAUAUUUAA